CCAAAGGCUCUUUUCAGAGCCACCCAAUUAGCCAAGGAAAACGGCU
rfam:Oryctolagus cuniculus chromosome 12, whole genome shotgun sequence.